rnacentral:rRNA from 1 species
UACGUAGGGUGCGAGCGUUAAUCGGAUUUACUGGGCGUAAAGCGUGCGCCGGCGGCCCGUUAAGACAGGUGUGAAAUCCCUGGGCUCAACCUAGGAAUUGCGCUUGUGACUGGCGGGCUCGAGUACGGUAGAGGGGGGUAGAAUUCCAGGUGUAGCGGUGAAAUGCGUAGAGAUCAGGAGGAACACCGAUGGCGAAGGCAGCCCCCUGGGCCUGUACUGACGCUCAUGCACGAAAGCGUGGGGAGCAAACAGG